GUGGGGAAUAUUGGACAAUGGGCGCAAGCCUGAUCCAGCCAUGCCGCGUGAGUGAUGAAGGCCUUAGGGUUGUAAAGCUCUUUCGUCAGGGAAGAUAAUGACGGUACCUGAAGAAGAAGCCCCGGCUAACUUCGUGCCAGCAGCCGCGGUAAUACGAAGGGGGCUAGCGUUGCUCGGAAUCACUGGGCGUAAAGCGCGCGUAGGCGGCUUUCUAAGUCAGGGGUGAAAUCCUGGAGCUCAACUCCAGAACUGCCUUUGAUACUGGAGAGCUUGAGUUCGGGAGAGGUGAGUGGAACUGCGAGUGUAGAGGUGAAAUUCGUAGAUAUUCGCAAGAACACCAGUGGCGAAGGCGGCUCACUGGCCCGAUACUGACGCUGAGGUGCGAAAGCGUGGGGAGCAAACAGGAUUAGAAACCCUUGUAGUCC
rnacentral:rRNA from 1 species